AGCGAACGCUGGCGGCAGGCCUAACACAUGCAAGUCGAACGAACCCUUCGGGGUUAGUGGCGGACGGGUGAGUAACACGUGGGAACGUGCCUUUAGGUUCGGAAUAACGCAGGGAAACUUGUGCUAAUACCGAAUGUGCCCUUCGGGGGAAAGAUUUAUCGCCUUUAGAGCGGCCCGCGUCUGAUUAGCUAGUUGGUGAGGUAAAGGCUCACCAAGGCUACGAUCAGUAGCUGGUCUGAGAGGAUGACCAGCCACAUUGGGACUGAGACACGGCCCAAACUCCUACGGGAGGCAGCAGUGGGGAAUCUUGCGCAAUGGGCGAAAGCCUGACGCAGCCAUGCCGCGUGGAUGAUGAAGGUCUUAGGAUUGUAAAAUCCUUUCACCGGUGAAGAUAAUGACUGUAGCCGGAGAAGAAGCCCCGGCUAACUUCGUG
rnacentral:rRNA from 1 species